rnacentral:rRNA from 1 species
GACGAACGCUGGCGGCGUGGAUUAGGCAUGCAAGUCGAACGGUAGGAUACCUUCGGGUAUCUGAGAGUGGCGAACGGGUGAGUAACACGUAGGUGAUCUACCCUCAAGAUUGGGACAACCCAGGGAAACUUGGGCUAAUACCGGAUGAAAGCAGCAGUGAUGUUGUUUGAAAGGUGGCGUAAGCUGCCGUUUGGGGAUGAGCCUGCGCUCUAUUAGUUAGUUGGCGGGGUAAAGGCCCACCAAGGCGAUGAUAGAUAGGCGGCCUUAACGGGUGGUCGCCCACACUGGGAUUGAGAUACGGCCCAGACUCCUACGGGAGGCAGCAGUCGAGAAUAGUCUACAAUGGCCGAAAGGCUGGAUAGUGCGACGCCGCGUGAACGAAGAAGCCUUUCGGGGUGUAAAGUUCUUUUAUAUGUGAGCAGUGCUUUCUAUGUGAACAGCAUGGGGAGAGAGAUAUUAGCAUAUGAAUAAGCAACGGCUAACUCCGUGCCAGCAGCCG